rnacentral:rRNA from 1 species
CAGUAGUAUAUCUUAAAGUUGUUGCAGUUAAAAAGCUCGUAGUUGAAUUUCUAUCAGGGUAGUUUCCUCCUUCGGGAGGAUCCCUACUUAUGAUAUCCGUCAGGGAAUUAAAUUUGUCAUUCAUUUGUCAAUUUUUGGAACUGGCAUUUUACUUUGAAGAAAUUAGAGUGUUCCAGGCAGGCUAUGCUUGAAUACAUCAGCAUGGAAUAAUGGAAUAGGAUUUGCUUAUUUUAUUGGUUAUUAAGCGAAUAAUGAUUAACAGGGACAGUUGGGGGCACUCGUAUUCGGCGGUCAGAGGUGAAAUUCGAAUUCGCCGAGGACGAACUAAUGCGAAAGCAUUUGCCAAGGAUGCUUUCAUUAA